ACAUCACACUGGCAGGCUCUCUGUACUUGGAAACAAAUGGAGUAUUAAUGUCCACAAGCCCUGCUGUUGGACUGCUUUGAAGGCAUGCCCCACAGAAUGUCUGCUUCUGCCUUGCUUCUGCAGCAUCAGUGAGAGAAGGGCUUUACCUUCAUGGGUGUGUGAGGACAACAGACCUCAUCUUUGAAGAUAAGUUUCUCUUCACAGAGGAGAGAAACUAAGAGGGGAACAGGGGACACAAGGAGAGAGACACCUGCUGCACUGCUUCACCACUCAUGAAACUUCCCCUCUGCAAAUGGAGAGCAAGGAAUUGAACCUAGUCUCUGUGCAUGGUAACUUAACAGAGGCAGAGAAAAAUUAGGAGACGGGAGAAAAGAAGAAGAUAGAGAAGGAGAUUGACAGAGAAAUACCUGCAGACCUGCUUCAACACUAUUGAAGCUUCCCCCUACAGACAUAUUGGUAUAUUUGCUGACUCCAAGUUGCACAUGCUAUUAUGAUGCCAUCCUGAUUUCCCUGAGCAGAUGACCUUACCACUGUGGUCCAGAACCUUGCCUUU